rnacentral:rRNA from 1 species
GACGAACGCUGGCGGCGUGCCUAAUACAUGCAAGUCGAACGCAGUGGGGACGGGUGAGUAACACGUGGGUAACCUCCCAUCAGAGGGGAUACCACUUGGAAACAGGUGCUAAACCUAUACUGAUAGCUGGACUCUCGGUGCAUUAGCUAGUUGGUGAGGUAACGGCUCACCAGGGCGACGAUGCAUAGCUGGUCUGAGAGGUGGAUCGGCCACACUGGGACUGAGACACGGCCCAGACUCCUACGGGAGGCAGCAGUAGGGAAUAUUGGGCAAUGGACGAAAGCCUGACCGAGCAAUGCCGCGUGAGUGAAGAAGGUUUUCGGAUUGUAAAGCACUGUUGUUAGAGAAGCGUUAUCGACCCAGAAAGCCACGGCUAACUACGUGCCAGCAGCCGCGGUAAUAC